CAGAGACCAACUUUCGGGUGAACGUUUUCAAUGCUUGUCUUGACAUUACCAUCCAGCAACUGCCCUGAAGAUUCACCAGCUUAAAUGGAACUGUGCAUAUGAUCAAGAACCUCUUUCACGGAUGAGGAUGCCAAAGGAAAAAUCUGUUGUGCAUUUGGCUAAAAUGCUCCUUGUCAACCACCCAGCAGUAACGUCAACAUUCAGUGAGGUUUGCACCGCCUUCAUUUUAUUUUUGACUCAACGCAACCCCUGGGCGCUCAUUCUGCAUGUUAGAACUAAUUGAAAACAACUUGAGGAGCACAAUGGGACCGAAGAGACUGAGUGGACUUGCCAUGUUGUCUGUAGAGUACGAGAGAGCAAAGAAAACGGACAUACAAAGCAUCAUGGACAUGUUCCGGGAGCCCAGGGCUCUUUGUAUGCCCUUCAAAUAACAACCCCUGCUGGGACACGUACUACGCUGCUUCGCUCCUACCCCUCGACCCCCUACCCUGUUCACAGACUGUCCUACUGUUUUGUCCUUCCUUUCGUUCUCCUCAACAUCACGGUAAUACACGACAAUAAAUUAUUAUUAGAUUUAAGAGCAAAUAAAAACAAUUGUUCAACAAACAUAUACGUGACAAUGCAUAAGCACAAUAAAAGACAAUGAAAUAGUAUCAACAAAACAAUAAAUCACAUACAAUUGUAAUUGUUGUGUCUAACAAUGUGUUCUCUUUGUUUGUGAACAGCAUGUAAAUGUAACAAUAUCAACAAUGUAACAAUAUGAAAAACACAACAAAAAC